AUAUUUAUGGUAGGUGGAGUGGAGGAAGUUGUAACUGAGGUUGAGAUUGUGAGAUGUGGUAGAGGAAUUGAUGAGGCAAGUUGCCUAGAAGUAGAGCCGGAGGAGUUUAAAACUUCUGAGAUGGAGAUCUUACCAGAAGGUGUUGAAGAAGAGGUCAGAAGCACUGACUUUUUCUUGGUUGCUAAAGACUCUCCCAGAUUGAGAGUCUUAUUUUUCUGAACAAUUUCCUUCUGAGAGGGUUCCCUCUUUAUUUUC
rnacentral:lncRNA from 1 species